ACCUGGACGACAUACUGAUUAUGUCCGCGUCCCCCGAUCAACUUCUACAACACCUGAGCUGGACGGUGAAUCUUCUGGAGAGCUUAGGUUUUCUCAUAAAUUGGGAAAAGUCCAUGGUGACCCCAUCGCAGAAAAUAGAAUUUCUGGGUUUCGAAGUCGAUUCGGUCGCCCAGUUUCUGUUCCUUCCAGAGACCAAGCUAAAGGCUAUGAAGAAAGAAAUAAGACGUACUCUACGGACCACCAGUCUCU